UACGUAGGGUGCAAGCGUUGUCCGGAUUUAUUGGGUUUAAAGGGUGCGUAGGUGGUUGAUUAAGUCAGUGGUGAAAAUGGGUUGCUCAACAACCGAACUGCCAUUGAUACUGGUUAACUUGAGAGAGGUUGAGGUUGGUGGAAUGGAUGGUGUAGCGGUGAAAUGCAUAGAUAUCAUCCAGAACGUCAAUUGCGAAGGCAGCUGACUGGGCCUUUUCUGACACUGAGGCACGAGAGCGUGGGGAUCAAACAGG
rnacentral:rRNA from 1 species